rnacentral:rRNA from 1 species
AGUCCACAUCGACGGGGAGGUUUGGCACCUCGAUGUCGGCUCAUCACAUCCUGGGGCUGUAGUAGGUCCCAAGGGUUGGGCUGUUCGCCCAUUAAAGUGGUACGCGAGCUGGGUUCAGAACGUCGUGGGACAGUUCGGUCCCUAUCCGUCGCAGGCGUAGGAAAUUUGAGAAGACCUGUCCUUAGUACGAGAGGACCGGGAUGGACGUACCUCUGGUGUACCAGUUGUUCUGCCAAGGGCAUGGCUGGGUAGCUAUGUACGGAAUGGAUAAGCGCUGAAAGCAUCUAAGCGCGAAGCCAACUUCAAGAUAAGAUUUCCCACCGCAAGGGUAAGACCCCAGAAAGACUAUCUGGUUG